rnacentral:rRNA from 1 species
UACGGGGGGGGGCAAGCGUUGUUCGGAAUUACUGGGCGUAAAGGGCUCGUAGGCGGCCAACUAAGUCAGACGUGAAAUCCCUCGGCUUAACCGGGGAACUGCGUCUGAUACUGGAUGGCUUGAGUUCGGGAGAGGGAUGCGGAAUUCCAGGUGUAGCGGUGAAAUGCGUAGAUAUCUGGAGGAACACCGGUGGCGAAGGCGGCAUCCUGGACCAAUUCUGACACUGAGGAGCGAAAGCCAGGGGAGCAAACAGG